UAAUAAUAAGUAUAUUAGAGUAAUUUUUACCUUGCAACACUUUGAUAUCCCCGCUUGUGUCUUUGCAGCUAGCACCAGGAUUACUACCUCCCUCCAACUCAUCAAGUACCAGGUCCUGUUCUGAGCACUCUAAGUGAAUCAACACACUUAAUCCUGACAGUUCUCAGCUAAGGACACUGCAGCAGAGGACUUGGCGAACUUGCUGAAAGUUACACAGCUGUGGAAAAGGGCAAAUAAAACCUUGUUCAGUAAAUGUGUUCUAUAAAAGGCCCAAUGCAAAGACACCUGGUAUCUAUAUAUAUGAACACUUAUAUGACUUAAGAAACCUCCUAGGGAAGUAUAAAAUAGUCAAUAGAUUCAAAAAGAACCAAUCGAUAGAUCCAAUUUUAAUUACAUAAAGGAAACUUACCUGCUGGGAAAGAAUGGUUACAGCUUCUUUAUGCUUUGUGUCCCUUAGGUUAACUCCGUUAACAGCCAGAAUAGCAUCUCCGACAUGUAGCCCUCCACAUCUGUCAGCAGGUUGCCCUGGGUGGAUCUCAGAAAUGAGGAUUGGAACACCAUGCUCUUUCCCACCCUGACCAAAAAAAAAGGGGGGGGGGGGACAGUCAAUUAGUUUACUCUGUACAGUAACACAUUAUUCUAACAAUAAAAUACUUAAAAAUGCAUUUCAAUAAGCAACUAAACCAUAUAAAUGCUGAAAUAUUACUUCCUACUUAGGUAAUGGUAACCAUAUUAUUACAAGUAUCAAAGAGUUAUCUCUGAGUAAAACAGUAACAUGCAUGUACACUCUAAAACACAUUCCAAAGCCCAAAACUCUUUUAAAUAUAAAUAAAAAUAUUUUAUGUAUUAAUGUUC